CAUGAAGGCUUUUAUUAGAAACACGGUUGACCAAAAUACUAUGAAAGUUUCACUUCCCCCUUUGUCUCUUUCUCUGCACCGUCACACCCCAACGCUCACCACAAACACCACCAUUUUACUUUCUGCUAAUUACUAUUCAGUUUCCUUUUCUCUAUAGAAAAAGAUGUGCACCUGCACCCCUUCUGCUGUGAUGAGUGUGAUGGUGGUUUGUAGUUUCUCUUCCAGUCAUUCGGGGUCAGGAUGGCUGCAGAGUUAAUUACGGUUCCUCUUGGAUCUGUGGAUUAAACGGAUCCACCUUGGAGAUGCACUGCAGAUACACCCCCCCCAGAACCAAUGAGGGGUCACUGCUUUACCGACAGGCAGCACGGACACCCGGUGGACCUGAGAACGGACCCGGGACACACAGAGGACAGUUAGCUUAGCAUACCGCUGCUCUCUGAGGAUCAGCGGCCUGAGAGGCGGCGACUCGGCUGUGUACAGGUGUGCUGUGUUCAUGUUCACCACAAACCAACCGGACAGGAAGUACACCGGCGAACCGGGGGUCCGUCUGUCCGUCACAGGUUUGCAGGUGGAGAUCAGCAGAUCAAUACCUUUGUCACGAAGCGGGUGCAGGCAGAGGCAGGACUCAAACGCAGAGUUUUGGGAAACAACAAAAAGACUUUAAUGGUCAAAAUUCCAAAAUGCCAAGGGGCUAAAAAAA